GAAAAAUAAACUUGGCCAGGAUUUUUUUUUAACUUCUUUCUAUCAGAGACCAACAUAAAAAGUGUGUGUUUUCCUUAGGCAUGACUGAAACUGGCCAGAAAUAAAAUGACCUUAAAGAUGGUGGUGAUGAGAAGCAGCCUUGAAUCUUCUGCCGAGCAACUUCUGUCACCUGGGGAAGGCCCACAGGAAAAUGUCAGAUGCACAGCAACGCAGUAAAAAUUCUGGGCCCUCCCCACUGAUGUUGCAAUGGAAAUGCCAUAAGGGGUCGCCCAGGGAAUAUCCUCUGUGCAGGUGCCCCUGUGCUGGUGCAGAGCCAGCACCAUCAGCUUUGUGCUGCCUCCACAGCAACCCUGGGCAAAGAGAUGUUCCAAGGCAGAAGUGAAUUAUGGACAGAUUAGAGGAAGGAAGAGGCAUGGAUGGGGCCUGCACCCCAGCAAUUCUGCAUCUUGCAGUCUAUCACCAUAGAAGAAGAGUUUGAAAAAGAACCAUGCUUUGUUCAUCAAUUGCUGGGAUCUGCUAGCAUGACUUGUAGACACACUGGAGAAAUCGCUUCCGUCACUUCAGUGCCUCUGCACUGCUUCCAACAGUGGCUUCACUGGGCCCCUUGCCAGCUAGCAUAGAAGCUUCUCUGACCUCAGUGUUUUCUCAAAUUGGAAAGAUGUUUCUGUGGCUGUCUUUGCCAGUCAUGUGCCAUCCCCUAUAGCGAACACAGAAUCCUAUUGUUCUCAGCACCCAAUUCAGUAGUAAAACACCAGGCUUGUUCCAUCCGUCAGAGUCAUAAAGCAAGCAACACGAUGACCUAGGUACGGUAUUUCCACAGGUCCCCAUUGCCAGAGCAAUCUGAGCCCCUCACAAUGAUGUAUCCUCACUGUAUCCUGGGGAGGUGGGGAAGUGCUAUGGACUCUGAUGACUGCUUACCAGCUGGAUUAUGUUCUGGACGAGGUUCUUGGUCACCGUGAACUAAAGAAUACGCGGAUGGGGCAAGAAUAUAGAUAUGGAUGAAAGACUCUCUUUAGGAUGUAACACUGUUAGUGGUGAGUGGCAUCAUUCGAGCCUAUGUCAAGGAAAACACCUGUAUCUAGAUGGAAGCAAGCAGUCAUUUAAUAAGCCUAUUUUGGGAAAAGUUCUUCCCCCUGUGCCUUAAGUGACAUGGUUAAUGCUGCUUCCUCAGAAGGUUACUCAGUCACCUUAAUAUUUCUCUUAUGUCAUCUUUUUGCUUUGUUUUUCUCCUUCCAGAUUUUGAUUAGUUUUUCCUUCAACAUGGGGAAGAUGUCUGAUUCUAGAGGACUCUCUUUAAUUUGGCAGAUAGGAGAAUAACAAGGUCCAGUAGCUGGAAGCUGAAGCUGAACAAAUUCAAACUGGAAAUGAUGCCUAUAUUUUUAAGUAAGGGUAAUUAGAUAUUGGAACAACUUACCAAGGGAUGUGAUGGAAACCCCAUCUUUUGAAGUCUUUAAAUCAAGAUUUAAGGGACAGAUUCUCAGCUGGUGUAAAUUGUCAUAGCUCUGAUGUCAGUGGAGCUAAGACAGUUUGCACCAGCUAAGAAUCUGGACCUUGACGUCUUUCUAAAAUACGUGCUCUUGGCCAACUGCAAGUUAUUUGACUCAGUGCCAGAAUUAGUGGGUGAAACUGUCCAGCCUGUGUUAUACAGGAAGUCAGAUUAGAUGAUCACAGUGGUCUCUUCUGACUUUAGAAUCUGUGGAUUGUUGCUAGGAUAAACUCUAAAAGGUGAUGCUGUACCUUGAUAGAUUGGUAUUGCCAGACAUCUUCAGAGAGGAGCUAGCAGCAGUCAUUGCUUUCAUCUUAAAUUGUCAGCACGCACCUGAAUUGUUUCUCUUAUUCCUGUAAUGCUGGUAUCUGGUUUUUCAAGGCCUGUGUUUAUUCCUAUGGAAUGUGUAUUUUGCAGACUUGGUUCAUUCUUGGAGCAUUCUUGGUAUGUAAAGCUGUACCAGUUAUUUUGUAACUUUAAUACUAAAUAAAUGUGCCUUACUGCAUUUAGCUAAUUAUUCU
rnacentral:lncRNA from 1 species